rnacentral:rRNA from 1 species
AGCAGCCGCCGCGGGAAUACGUAGGGCGCAAGCGUUAUCCGGAAUUAUUGGGUUUAAAGGGUCCGUAGGCGGUCUUGUAAGUCAGUGGUGAAAGCCCAUCGCUCAACGGUGGAACGGCCAUUGAUACUGCAGGACUUGAAUUAUUGGGAAGUAACUAGAAUAUGUAGUGUAGCGGUGAAAUGCUUAGAGAUUACAUGGAAUACCAAUUGCGAAGGCAGGUUACUACCAAUUGAUUGACGCUGAUGGACGAAAGCGUGGGUAGCGAACAGGAUUAGAUACCCCGGUAGUCCCUGUCUCUUAUAC